AGGUCUGUGGUGUAACUGGUUAGUGCAUUCAGCUGUUAACUGAAAGGUUAGUGGUUUGAACCCACCCAGGGAUG
rnacentral:tRNA from 1 species